rnacentral:rRNA from 1 species
CGGAAGGUCCGGGCGUUAUCCGGAUUUAUUGGGUUUAAAGGGAGCGUAGGCCGGCUUUUAAGUCAGCUGUGAAAGUCCGCGGCUCAACCGUGGAAUUGCAGUUGAAACUGGAGGCCUUGAGUGCACACAGGGAUGCCGGAAUUCAUGGUGUAGCGGUGAAAUGCUUAGAUAUCAUGAAGAACUCCGAUCGCGAAGGCAAGUGUCCGGGGUGCAACUGACGCUGAGGCUCGAAAGUGCGGGUAUCAAA